GGCAACCAAGUGACGUCAACAACGUCGAGGAAACGUCAGUAUUUGGUGGAAUAUAUACACGUAGUUGAACAUUACGUCAUAUCGACGUCUUUUGUAGGUGAUUUUAAAUACGUAAGAUUAAUGACGUUAAAAUACGUUUAAAAGACGUUUUCAUUUCAGCCAGCCUAAGUCUGACGUCACGAAAUUGGGAGGAGCUUGGAGCUUAAAAGUUACAAAACUAGGGUUAUGUUUGUAUCAUCGUUGUCGUUUGUCGUUUCAUUUCAUUGUUUGUUUGUCCUAGUAUUUUGCCUUUUUUGGAUUCAUUUGGAUUUUGUUGGCUGUUUUGUGUGUAUUUUUUAAAACUUCUGUUUGUCAUUUGUAAAUUUUAUAAAUUUACCACAAUGCAAAGUGAUUAGUUAAGGAAAUUAUUAAUGGAAACUCCGCAGAUGUUUUAGAAAGAUAUUCAUUGAAGCUGAAAAUAAUUGGAGAUUUAGAUCCAUAUACAAUUCAGUCAUCAGAAUUGGAUUUUACAGUGCAUUCCAUCAAUUACUGUUAUAAUGCUAUUAUAGAUAGACUGGUAGAGUCUCACAGUUACUGCUUUAAGCAGCAGAUGAAAGCAUACAAAAGCCUUCAGGCACAUAAAAGCCUUCACAACUGGAUUUGUUUUGAAACAUUGAUGUUUUGAUGAUUUCUAUAUUAUUGUUGGAAAGGUGAAAAAUUCCCAAAAAGCUAAUGCUAAACCGCUAGAUGCUUCGGUGAAUAGCCAGUUCCAAUGGCAUAGCAAAUGCACAUUGUAUGUGUAUGGCCAGUAAUAGUGAAAUUUGCAGCCAUAUUGCAGCAAUCUUAUUUGCAGCUGAGUAUGCCCACAGCAAGACAGAAGAAGAAGAACCCAAUGCAUGUACAGAUGUUACAGCUAUGUACAUUCUCUGGUGAAAAACUAAUGAGUUUUCAAGCUGUUCGGUCAGAGUGCUUGUUGCGCUCUCUAAACGAACUGAAAUAUAAGACGGCUUUGGCUUCAUGUUGCAGUGAUAUGAAAAUGGUUAGUCAUUUUUAAUUAUAAUGUACUUCUUCAUCAUGAGUAUUUAUGUAUAGGACUUUUCAUUCACAGUCAUUUGUUUCGAGCUUCUGUCAUGUGUCACAUAAUAUUAAUAUUAUAUCUACGUCAUACGUUAUUGGUAUAUAUCAAUGAUACACACCAAAGACAUAUGGCAUAGAUAUAUUAAUAUUAUGUGACACAUGACAGAUGCUCGAAACAAAUGACAGUCGAUAAAAAGCCCUAUUAGUCUUUUAAGUGUGUAUUAUCAGAUAUCACAUGUAAAUUGUUUUUAUCAUGUUAAUUUGGUCAUUACAGUCCCUUAAUAAAAAAAUAUAUUUUUCAGGUGUCUGUGGAUCUUUUUGUAUGCAAAAAUUUGUAAUAAUUAUUUGAAAUCAUUUUGAGGAUUAUUAGAGUAUGGAAAUAUAUGUGAGAACACAUACUAUUAUAGUUUUGUCCUAUUUUUUAUUAUUCAAUAGUCUUCUUAAAAUUUAUAAAUAUAAAGCAGAUAGUUUUCAUUGAAAUUCAAUAUAUUGGGUCUUAUUUGUAUGUAUUCAUUUUUGACUAAAGGUACGAUUCCGAUAACGACUGCAGACAGCAACUGCAAACAUCAGUUGCAGUUCUCGGCGUUAUGGAUGUUACUACUUUGCACUAUUUAUCUGUAUGAGACUUAUUCCGACAUCUGACUGCAACUGCUGUCUGGCAGAACGUCAGUUGCUAAUAAUUAUGCAAAUUAUUAGUGCAAAAUAAUGACGUCUGUCAUGGUGACAACUGUAACUGCCAUCUGCAGUCGUUGUCGGAAUCGUACCUUUAAAGUGUGUGGUAUAAUUAUAAUAAUUAUAUAUAUAUUAUAUAACUUAAAUGGUUUAAACUUAAGUUUGUUAUUACAUUUUUGACUUAAAUGUUUAAUUUGUUAAUAAAUGAUUUAUUAGUUUA
rnacentral:lncRNA from 1 species